rnacentral:precursor_RNA from 1 species
UGUUAUGGGGCUUGCUGUCGGGUAUGGGCUUCUUGAUCUGGGCCCUGCUGCAUGAUUGGGAUUUGGGCCUUAAAGUCCAAAUUCCCUAACAGUACUAAUCUGGUGUUUCUCACACGUUAUAAAAAUGACAACCGAACAUGGAGAUGAAACAUGUCAAUAUGGUUUUGGAUGGUAAAAGAAAGAGUAAUGUUUUUUUUUUUUUUGUAAAUUGUUAUAUCUUACAAUUUGAUAAUAUGAUAGUAAAAAUUAGUUAUUAAAUAAGAUUUUCAAUGCUACAUCAUUUCUAUUAUACGGCAGAUUAUAGUCGUAUAGCCAUCUACGAAAUAAUAUUACUCUAAUAAAAAGAAAGCAAACUAUAAAUUAACAUUUCGCACAUGAGUAAUUUUAAAUACUCAUCUCCAUGCCACUCUUAUAUUAUUUGACUGAUGUGACAGUUCUCCCAGUCCUUGAAUUUUUACAUAUUUUUUUUAAUAAAUAUUGAUUCAAAAGUUGGUGAGCACUAUCACAUCAACAUUAGGAUAUCAUUUUGAAGCCGAAAAAGCCCAUAAGCAGUAAUGCCUUUAUUGCCUUCUAGCAUUAUUGUUUCAUGAUUGUCUGAUAUGCCUUCUUAUAUUAGGGCCAUCUGGUUAUUCUUGUUCGUUUUGUUAUCCUUUUGGAUAUAAAUUUUUUAUAAAUUGGGUCGUAAAAAUUUCUCAAAUUCAGUCUUUAAAAAUGUCGUGUAUUCUUUGAGCAUCUAAGAAGCAUACUUAUUUUUUAUUUUAUUAAUGCUAUUGAAAAAACAUAUGAGAAGCACAUGCUAUUAAAAAAACUUUUGCUUCUUAUAUGUUAAGGGACACAUAAUACUUUUACAGACUGAAUUAAAACAAUUUUCCUAUAAUUCCUAAUCCUAUUUUUAUUAGCUUAAGCUCUAAAAGGCCAACGCCUAUUUUCUUUUUGAUUCCUACCAAUGGCUUCCUCUACUUUUGGUACCAUCAAUUCCUCUACCAUCUCUGGCUCUAACACUAUCACUUUUUUUCUUCACAAUUUCACUCAAAUGUCCAUUGAGAAAUUGGAAGGAGGAAGCAAUUAUCUAGCAUAGUUGUCACAAAUUGAGCCUAUCAUUUGUAGCAAUGAUCUUAUGGCAGGACCUUUGACUCUGAUACUAUGUUAAAUUAUCAUUUGUCCUAAAAACUUAAGCUAAUAGGAAGAGACAAAUUUAAUCAUUUAAUCAAUAUUUUAACAGUUAAUACAUUAAGCCAUCGCAGCAUAUAACCAAUUCACAAAAUGUUACAAAAUAUUAUGAAGUUCAAGAAUCCAAGCUAAAGUUAAAGUCUACCUAGUCGUAGUUGAAGUCUAUUUCGAGCUACACUUGAAGUCUAUCAUCUAGUAAUAGUUGAUCAUUUAGUCGUAGUUGAAGUCUAUUUGUAUUAUUCUCAUCUAUCCUAAUUUUUUUUAUAAAUGAGUAUUUUGUAUUGUAAAUAUCAAAGAAAUAAGAGCUUAAUCCUGUGGGGGGUAUGUCAUAUAGACCGAACAACGAAAUUUUUUGUAUCUUUAUUUGUUCCACUUUACAUUUAUUUGCCAAUUUUAUUAUUUAUAAACAUAGGUCAUAGACCAAACUAUAUAAAUUUGUGUCUUUAUUAGUUCCAGUUUAUAUUUAUUUGUCAAUUUCGUCAUAUAAACGUAGGUCAUAAACCGACCCGUGUAAUUCUUGGUGUCUUUAUUUGUUCCGCUUUACAUUUAUUUGUCAAUUUCAUUAUAUUUUCUUUCAAGAAAUACUUAAAAAUAAUAAUAAAUAAAAGAAGCAUACGAUUUGGGGUGUUGGGAUUGCGUAUACGCGAGACGUUUGCCAUUACAGAAUCUCAACCGGGACCUACCACCAUUAGAGUCCCAUACAUAAAAGAAAUUUGUAAUUUUCGGCGGAGUGAUGAUUAGCAACAUCCCAGGACACAUGAACAGUGUUUUCACUGUUCAUGUGGGGGCUACAUGAACAGUGAAAACACUGUUCAUGUGUCCUGGGAUGUUGCACUGUAGCA